UGGCUUAGAGGGUAAAGCAUCUGCCUGCAAGGUGGAAGACCUGGGUUCAAUCCCUG
rnacentral:tRNA from 1 species